rnacentral:rRNA from 1 species
AAUAGUAGCCAUAUCACUCUGCCCAAGACUGGUUGCCCACUGAAGCUAAGCAGGGUUGAGCCUGGUCAGUACCUGGAUGGGAGACCUCCUGGGAAAACUAGGUUGCUGCUGGAA